GUUUAGAGAAGUUAAUUUCUUUCUGGUUAUAGACCUUGUUACUUCAGGGGUAAGCCAGCAUGAAGAUUGAAUGAAUGCAUGUGAAUGAGCAAAGACAAGGUAGCAAGAAGAGAUUUGGGUUCCACCAAUGGAAAGUUCUGGAACAGAAGUAAGCAGAAGAUAUUGUUGUGAUUUGCUCAAAAAUGAGACAGAACAUUUUCAUUACUCCUUAGGGAUGUCUAUUGAGAGCAUGCAAAAGG